rnacentral:sRNA from 1 species
GCUGGGUGCAGUGGCACACGCCUAUAAUCCCAGUGGCUUGGGAGGCUGAGACAGGAGGAUUGCAAGUUUGAGACCAGCUUCAGCAACUUGGCAAGACCCUGUCUCAA